CUGCUGCUGAAGUUAAAAAACAACAACGACGACGACAACAACGGCAAAACCCCUCUGUCAAGCACACAAAUUACAAGAUGAUGUUGUCUUCAGACCAUUGUAUGAUGUUGUCUUCAGACCAUCAUACGAGUAUGUUUACCUCAAGUCGUCUCUGAUAUAUUCUUAGAUGAUGUUGUCUUCAGACCAUUGUUUUUUUUUUAUAAAUUUCAUUCAAUAAAAAGAAGAACCGUCUAAAAAAAGAAGCAGCAUAUAAUGGAAGAUGUUAAGGCAUUCAUGUGUUUUCAAAAGGCCAACAUUUACAGUAGGAAGUGUGGGGCCAUAUAACAUCCAAGUGCAAAGUUUGAACAUGUUAAUGGAGGACAGCAAGGUUUCUGACAAGGUAAUGGAUUCCAUAUGUAAUGUGCUUAGCAAGAAUUGCCCCGGUGUUGUACAUAUCAACUGUCGGACACUCACACAAAUAUUGGAUGGGUCUAAAAGGGCAAAGAGCCACUAUUUUCUCAAGAAUAAUAUCUUGGAAGAGGCAACAGAGGUGUUUUGUGCUUAUCUAGAAGGCGGCAAUCACUGGAGCUUUUUUGUGAGUCACCAUUUUAAGGACAACAAUUUCAAGAACAAAACAUUUUCACAUCUUUGUUCCAGUUUAUUCCUGCCUCUAUAGAAAUAUCUACCAAUAUUUUCUAUAUAGGUAAAAGAUCAUGAAACAAGGACACUUUGAUUUUUGUAUCAAGCCAUCAAUACAUUUGAAACCACAUGUCAAAAAAGCUGGUGCAGUUCUUUAACAAUUGUUUUCUGACAGAACACAAUUAUUAUAGAUUUAUAGACCGUUCUAUUAAGCAUUGGUUACAUUCCUUACUUGAGAUAUUAUAUUUGGAACUGUCUUCAACACGGACCAAUCAUGCUAAACCCGUCAUUUUGUCUGUGUGGAAGAACUGUAUCUGUUCAGUUUAGGGAGAUUUUGGACAUUUAAACCAUCUCUAUUAAUUUUGUAGUUAU